rnacentral:snRNA from 1 species
GUUCAUUCCUGGAAGUGUACUAAAAUUGGAACAACACAGAAAAAGUUAGCAUGGUCACUGCGCAAGGACGAUACGGAAAUUCGAGAAGAGCUGCAAAUUUUU